CGCAGAAUACCGAUAUUAAAUUGAAAGCGUACAAAAUACGUUUUGUGCAAGAACUGAAAGUUGCUCGAUCAUCCUAAGCGACACUCUAUGUGGUCUUGAAAAGUUUCAAGAAGAUCCGACGUUUUCGAGCCAAAUGUUGUUCAGCGAUGGGCCUCAGGUCUGGCUCAAUGGAUAUGUAAACGAGCAAACUUGCCGUAUUUGGGACGAAGUGCAACCUGAAGAGAUUCAAGAGCGGUUUGAUGUCGUUUGUGAGCCGGCGAAAUCAUCGGUCCGUAUUUCUUCAAAAUAGAUGCCGGUGAGAACGUAUCCGUCAAUGGUGACCGUUACCGCACCAUGAUAACCAACUCUUUGAUGCCUGAAAUUAAAACUCGCGAUCUCGAUGACAUUUGGCUCCAAGAAGACGGCGCCACUUUCCAUACUUCGCUUCAAUCAAUGGAUUUCUUGAGAGAACACUUCGCUUUCUAAAUGAGCCAUCAAUACCGUAUGCCGCCCCCAAAUUAGAGGCAUCGUCAAUGCGCAACUUUUCAUCAACACCAUAAUUCUGUUCAUCCAGUAAAUAUUCACGAUAAUUUAAGACUAACUGCUCAGUUUUUGCCGCAACUUCCUCAAUGCUACCAUUUUCACCACCAUAAUCCUUUGGAAGAUACUUGAUGGGCACAGCUUCGCAGAGGGACUCGAAUGUGCCGUGCACUUGAACCUGCAAUAGAAAGAGACAGUUUUCAAUAUUAAGUACUCACCCUUUCGACCAUCUUUGCUGGCAGCACUAACUUGAUUGUGGCAAACAACUUCUCAAAGAUCACACCCGUAUUGAAGAAAUGUGAAUUUUUUAUGCGCAUCGGCAUACCCUCUUCCAUGU